rnacentral:rRNA from 1 species
UGGGGAAUAUUGGACAAUGGGCGAAAGCCUGAUCCAGCCAUGCCGCGUGAGUGAUGAAGGCCCUAGGGUUGUAAAGCUCUUUCACCGGUGAAGAUAAUGACGGUAACCGGAGAAGAAGCCCCGGCUAACUUCGUGCCAGCAGCCGCGGUAAUACGAAGGGGGCUAGCGUUGUUCGGAAUUACUGGGCGUAAAGCGCACGUAGGCGGACUGUUAAGUCAGGGGUGAAAUCCUGGAGCUCAACUCCAGAACUGCCUUUGAUACUGAUGGUCUCGAGUCCGGAAGAGGUGAGUGGAAUUCCGAGUGUAGAGGUGAAAUUCGUAGAUAUUCGGAGGAACACCAGUGGCGAAGGCGGCUCACUGGUCCGGUACUGACGCUGAGGUGCGAAAGCGUGGGGAGCAAACAGG